AAUGAUUGGCAAGGAGAAGCAGGAAACAGAAUCUGAACAAACCUAGAAGAUUAUCCUCGUGGAAGGAAGUUGGAAGACAAGUGGAGUAUACAUACCAAACUGUAUUCCAGGUUCAACACCAUGCAUUUUGAUUUAUGCACCACAAUUUUAUCUUCAAGAUUCAAGAUCCAAGGAAAAUGGCUGAACACGGAUAAAGCCCACUGAAAUAACAAAGAGGAAUUAUUUAUGAUUUAAGACAUGUACAUUUUAAAGUUGACUUAUUGUAAACCAAAACCCAACUAAUAUUGUAGCUCAAGAAUAAAAACCAUUGAAUCCAGCCCACAAUAAAGGCAACCAUUUUAAUAUAAGAGAA